CGUUUGAGCGAUCGUGUCUGAAUGCGUGUUUUCGGUUUGAUUAUAAUUAUUUUCGUUUUCGUUUCGCGUAAAUAAUCGUAACAUAAUAUUUUAAUCGACUCGUCGCGUAACUGCGUAUUUUUUUUUUUAAAUUAUUUAAUUGUUUUUAGAACGAUUGAUUGAAAUUUGUAAUAAUAUACUCUUACUUCUUAGUUUUGUUUUUAUUAAUUUUCCGACGUUUUUAUUUUUUCACUCGACGUGUGUUCAUUAUUUUAAUUAUUUUAAUUGAUUUUUGUUCGUACCUAAACACACUGCAAAACUAUUUUACUUAUAUGAGUGCAAACACGAGCAUAAUGAAAGGUCGUCGACAAUAAUAGUUAUUCUCGAGAAGACUUCUAUUUUAGCCGAAAAAGUUGCAGCGAAACGUAGAUUACUAUCGUGUUUACGGUCCGCAGCAUCGCGAAAUCAUUGACGCCAUUCUCCUAAAUUCUUCUAAUCAGAUCGUAUUAUAUGAAUUGGUAGUUGUGAAGAGUCUGAUGGCAAAGCAGCAAUGAUGUCGAUCAAUUUGGUUUGGCUGUGUUCCCUACUGGUGUUGUUGGGUUACAAAUGGACCGAUGCUACAGAUCUAU